UGGGGAAUAUUAGUCAAUGGGGGAAACCCUGAACUAGCAACGCCGCGUGAAGGAAGAAGGUCUUCGGAUUGUAAACUUUUGUCUUCAGGGAAGAAAUAAAUGACGGUACCUGAGGAGGAAGCCACGGCUAACUACGUGCCAGCAGCCGCGGUAAUACGUAGGUGGCAAGCGUUGUCCGGAAUUACUGGGUGUAAAGGGUGCGUAGGCGGGUAUGUAAGUCAGGUGUGAAAUUCCGAGGCUCAACUUCGGAACUGCAUUUGAAACUACAUAUCUUGAGUGAAGGAGAGGUAAGUGGAAUUCCCAGUGUAGCGGUGAAAUGCGUAGAUAUUGGGAGGAACACCAGUGGCGAGGGCGACUUACUGGACUUUAACUGACGCUGAUGCACGAAAGCGUGGGUAGCAAACA
rnacentral:rRNA from 1 species